AUUGAACGCUGGCGGCAGGCCUAACACAUGCAAGUCGAACGGUAACAGGAAGCAGCUUGCUGCUUCGCUGACGAGUGGCGGACGGGUGAGUAAUGUCUGGGAAGCUGCCUGAUGGAGGGGGAUAACUACUGGAAACGGUAGCUAAUACCGCAUAAUGUCGCAAGACCAAAGAGGGGGACCUUCGGGCCUCUUGCCAUCGGAUGUGCCCAGAUGGGAUUAGCUUGUUGGUGGGGUAACGGCUCACCAAGGCGACGAUCCCUAGCUGGUCUGAGAGGAUGACCAGCCACACUGGAACUGAGACACGGUCCAGACUCCUACGGGAGGCAGCAGUGGGGAAUAUUGCACAAUGGGCGCAAGCCUGAUGCAGCCAUGCCGCGUGUAUGAAGAAGGCCUUCGGGUUGUAAAGUACUUUCAGCGGGGAGGAAGGGAGUAAAGUCAAUACCUUUGCUCAUUGACGUUACCCGCAGAAGAAGCACCGGCUAACUCCGUG
rnacentral:rRNA from 1 species